GGCUACGUAGCUCAGCUUGGUUAGAGCACAUCACUCAUAAUGAUGGGGUCACAGGUUCGAAUCCCGUCGUAGCCACCA
rnacentral:tRNA from 1 species